rnacentral:rRNA from 1 species
UGAGGAAUAUUGGGCAAUGCCCGAAAGGGUGACCCAGCAACGCCGCGUGGAGGAUGAAGGUCGUAAGAUUGUAAACUCCUGUUAGAGGGGAAGAAUAACUAAGUUUGGAGCUUAGUAUGACUGUACCCUCAGAGAAAGCCCCGGCUAACUACGUGCCAGCAGCCGCGGUAAUACGUAGGGGGCAAGCGUUGUCCGGAUUUACUGGGUGUAAAGGGCGCGUAGGCGGAAUGGAAAGUCAGUGGUGAAAUCCUACAGCUUAACUGUAGAACUGCCUUUGAUACUUUCAUUCUUGAGUUCGGGAGAGAGAGACGGAAUUCCAGGUGUAGUGGUGAAAUACGUAGAUAUCUGGAAGAACACCAGUUGCGAAGGCGGUCUCUUGGUCCGAUACUGACGCUGAGGCGCGAAAGCGUGGGGAGCAAACA